CCCUGUACACAUGUUUUUUUUGAAGAAACCCCCUGUACACAUGUGCUCACGGUAGUAGUACGCUAGUACUGCGAGCACAGGAACUCCCUCUCUCUGCCUCAUCCAUCGCCCUCCUCUGCUCUUCAUUUUGCCCAGGUGCAGCAGCUCACUCUGCCCAAAUCCACCACCGCGAUGGGUGGGGAAUCUCGCCGGCUGAAGGUUGGGUGGUGGCGGCGUGCUCCACUGUGGUGCGGGCUCGGCAACCAUGGCGCCCAGGCAAGCCAAGAAGGCCGGAGCAUGCUGAUGUGCGGGGAUUUGGACUCCAGCAACAACCCUCCUCAACUUGACACUCAGUUCUUCUCCCUUCUCCCUCACAUCUUCCUGUUCUUUUUUUAACCUAUUUGCAACUCCGUAACUCAAAGAUAUAUACCUGAGUGCUCUAGAUGUACAGGUCCUUGUGUUAGUGUUUUAGUCAAAGCUCAAGUUUUUUUUAUGUGCAGCUUUCUACUAAAGAAGGAAUGCUAGUGCUUGUUCUGAUAAUAGUUAGCAUAUAUCUCUUGGCCCAAAAUAUUAUUGAGCACCUAAUUAUUGUGCUGCUCUAGAAUAGAUUUGAGGUCCUUCCCGUGAGAUGUGCUUUGUGUUUUCAGUAAAGGGGAAAAGAAAUAUUCUAAGGCAUGCCUGUGAACCUCACCUUAAUCUUGAUGAUGUUUAACUCCAAUCUUAGGCUUGUUUCCCUCAGACACUCACUCCUUCUCUUGCAGGUCUUGGUUGCUUCAAAAGUGCGUCCAGAGUUGCUUGCAAGCACUUGGGGUUGUCUGGUGAUUUCCUCUCCCGGUCAACCUCCUUCCUCCUCAAGUCCUCAUCCGGUCACCCCAUGUCGACCUCCAUGGUGAUUAAGUCACCCUCUUGUGCUGGUGGAAGAGUUGGUUUUUUUUUUUCAAGCAAGGAGUGGACGAGGUGUGUUCCUGGAGACCUCAACUUUGAGUGAAGAGCCGGGAACUGAGUGGCUGCUACUUUGAUGGAGGCAAGACCCCUUUCAUCUAUAAUACUGAGCUCUUCUUCUACUACUACCCUCUUCCUGCACUCCCAAAUAUUUAAAUCCUAGUCAUGGCUUAGUCAAAGAAAUUCACUGUAUAUUGUCCAGCAGUUGCUACUAGAGUGGAUUAUCUCGUUCUAGAAGGGCAUGGCAACUCUUGUAGCUACAGUGAGAUGUAGUACUAUGUAGUGGCUCCAGUGUUUUGUACUACUACUCUCUAUCCUUAUUUACCAUAGCUCAAACUAGUGCAAGAGUGGACACAAAGAUAUGUAUGUGCCUCAAGGUGUACAGAAUGAUAUAUGUUCCUGUGAAAAUUUUUAUGAAGUUACAUUGGUCCAAA